rnacentral:rRNA from 1 species
UCUUCCGCAAUGGGCGCAAGCCUGACGGAGCAACGCCGCGUGAAUGAAGAAGGUCUUCGGAUCGUAAAGUUCUGUUCUUAGGGAAGAAGUCUUAGGUUGUGAAUAAUGACUUAAGGUGACGGUACCUAUGGAGAAAGCUCCGGCUAACUACGUGCCAGCAGCCGCGGUAAUACGUAGGGAGCGAGCGUUGUCCGGAAUUACUGGGCGUAAAGGGCGCGUAGGCGGGAACUUAAGUUAGAUGUGAAAACUCCGAGCUCAACCUGGAGACUGCAUUUAAAACUGGGUUUCUUGAGGGCAGGAGAGGAAAGUGGAAUUCCUAGUGUAGCGGUGAAAUGCGUAGAUAUUAGGAGGAACACCAGUGGCGAAGGCGACUUUCUGGACUGUACCUGACGCUGAGGCGCGAAAGCAUGGGGAGCGAACAGG